rnacentral:rRNA from 1 species
AAUCAACGCUGGCGGCGUGCCUAACACAUGCAAGUCGAACGCGAAAGGGCUUCGGUUCCUGAGUAGAGUGGCGUACGGGUGAGUAACGCGUGGGUCAUCUGCCCUCGGGUGGGAAGUAACUAAAUCGAAAGGUUAGACUAAUACCGCAUAACGCAGUGAUGUCAAAGCAGCAAUGUGCCUGAGGAGGAGCCUGCGUCUGAUUAGGUAGUUGGUGGGUAACGGCCAACCAGCCCUGCCGAUCAGUAGCUGGUCUGAGAGGACGG